AGUGAACGCUGGCGGUAUGCCUAACACAUGCAAGUCGAACGGCAGCACAGUAAUAGCUUGCGCUUACUGGUGGCGAGUGGCGGACGGGUUAGGAAUACAUCGGAAUCUACUUUUUCGAGGGGGGUAACGUAGGGAAACUUACGCUAAUACCGCAUACGACCUACGGGUGAAAGCAGGGGGUCUUCGGACCUUGCGCUAUUGAAUAAGCCGAUGUGGGAUUAGCUAGUUGGGGGGGUAAAGACCCACCAAGCCGACGAUCCGUAGCUGGUCUGAGAGGCUGAUAGGCGACACUGGAACUGAGACACGGCCAAGACUACUACGGGAGGCAGCAGUGGGGAAUAUUGGACAAUGGGCGCAAGUAUGAUGCAGUCAUCCCGAGUGGGUGACAAAGGCCUUCGGGUUGUAAAGACCUUUUGUUGGGAAAGAAAAGCAGCAGGCUAAUACCAAGCUGUUCUGACGGUACCUAAAGAAUAAGCACCGGCUAACUACGUG
rnacentral:rRNA from 1 species